CUCACUGCAGCCUCAAACUCCUGGGCAGCUCAGGUGAUCUUCCCGACUCAGCCUUCUGAGUAGUUGGGGAUACAGGUAGAGACAGAGUCUUGCCAUGCUGUCCAGGCUGGAGUGCAGUGGUGUGAUCUCGGCUCACUGCAACCUCCACCUCCCGGGCUCCAGCAAUCCUCCCACCUCAGCCUCCCUAGGAGCUGAGACUACAGUGCACAGCCAGAGAACAACACAUCACACACAGGAAACAGUUGUGCUCAUGUGAUGGGGGCCUCAGCACUAGGAAGGAGUGGACUAUUGGCGCAUGUAGCAGCUUGAAUAAAUCUGAAAGUCACUACACUGCGUAAGAGAAGCCAAAUAAAAAAGUUCAUGCUGUGUACAGAGGGUGUUGAGAAUGCCUCCUACGUGACGGAAAGCAGAUCCGUGGUUCCCUGCAGACCGGCAGGAGCAGAUUCCAAAGGCACAGGAAGAAGCUUGCAGUACAAAGAUAAAAAUCUAAAGUGGUUGCUGUGGAGGACAGGGGUCAGUGGUGGAAGUGAGACUGAAAUGGACUCUGAAGUAAUAUCUGGACUUUGAAAUUGUUUCCUUAACGACAACAAAAAAGGGAGUAAUCCUACCUACUGUAAGAGUCAUGACUCUUGAUUGCAGCUGACAGAAGCUCAUGACAGCCUGGUUUAGAUAAAAGGGGAAAGGACGACUGGAAGAAUCUUGGAGUUGGGAAUAUGGCACAUAAUUGAAGGAAGAGCAAUAAAACUAUAAUUCUUCCCGUGGAGACUGGAGUUUCCAGGAUGUGAAAAUUACCUCUGCUUGGGCAGCUGCUCCCAACCCCAGCAACUUUGCUAUCUUAGAACGGAUCACCAGUGAAAGAGGGGAAGUUGCUACUGUGAUGAAUUCUGCCAUGUGGUACCAGACUGCUGCCCAGACCACAGUGUCCUCUGCAACCCUGGUAACUCACAUACAGGCCUGAUUCCACCUACAGCAAAGCUGGAUGCUAUGGUUGGCAGAGGCAAGCCCCUUGCCUGCACUUCAGGCCAAAGCCGGGAUGUGGCCUAGAUGGUUCCUAAGGUCCCUGACAGUCCUGAGAUCUUUCAUCUUGUCUAUUUCAGGUCAAAGCUUCUCAGAUGACCAAGAUGGUGCUGCCGAUGGUGUUGAGGACGGAGAACCCACC
rnacentral:lncRNA from 1 species